UACGAAGGGGGCGAGCGUUGUUCGGAUUUACUGGGCGUAAAGGGCGCGCAGGCGGCUAUCCAAGUCAGGCGUGAAAGCCCCGGGCUUAACCUGGGAGGUGCGUCUGGGACUGGGUGGCUAGAGUUCGGGAGAGGAGAGCGGAAUUCCCAGUGUAGAGGUGAAAUUCGUAGAUAUUGGGAAGAACACCGGUGGCGAAGGCGGCUCUCUGGACCGAGACUGACGCUGAGGCGCGAAAGCGUGGGGAGCAAACAGG
rnacentral:rRNA from 1 species